CUUCAUUACUGUAGUGAUUAUGUUUUUAACAAUAAAUGGGAAUUUAUCACAUUACACUUUUGUUGUCAGUCUUCAUUUUUCUUAUGGCAUAUCAUUAUUGCACUUUGGCUAGUCAGCAAGUAUUUUUGUAUUACGAAAAAUG
rnacentral:lncRNA from 1 species